CUUUAAUAACCUUGAAUAAUACAAACUAGUAUGCCAGGUUGAUGUGUGGAAUUGCAUGCUAAAAAUGAUUAAACUCUAUGCUACCCUGAUCCUAUUGGAAUCUCUCAACCAUGUAUGUAAUAGAUCCUGAAUGCGAAGGAUACAAAUAAAACCUUUUAUAUUAACAGACCAAUACACAAGAAGUGAAAUUUUACAUAAGGUGCGGAUCAGACCAUCUUCUCUUCAACUCAGAUUUCCACCGAACUUCCUUGAGCAUCCCAUCCAAUCCAUAAUCCCUUUCCAUGACAAGGUUGAUUCCCUCGUCUGAGUACCACCCAACUCCAAUGCAAAGGAUACCAUCUUUGUUAACAUCAACAUAUCCUGUGACACCACCUGGCAGCCAAAGGACAGUCACAUCUUGCAUGUCUACCAUCUCUUCCUCCCCAAAGUAGUUGGGAUUUUCAGGCAAGCUCCUCUUUUUCAAGGUUUCUGUACAAAGGUAAACAUAUGGGGCACUAUUGCUAUCUUCAGUUGCCAUCUCAUCUCCAAAUACUGGAGUAGCAUUCACCUCAAAAACUUUCCACGACCCAGUCAGCUCUGAAGGCUGGGUACGUUUCCUCUGAGAAAAUGGCUUUAGAUCAAACUCCAGAUCACUGUGAUCAUGGAUAUUUGCUGGACUGACCCACUGUUCUUCAUAAACAGCAACUCUCACUAUCUGUAUGUCUGAACCCCCAUUAUUGAAUUCUAUGGUAUGAACAAUACGGAGUCUUUUGUGGCAACCUUUGACCAAACAUUGUUCAAAUUUAAAAGUUGGAGUGAGAUAAUACUUGGAAUCAUCUACUUCACCAACCGGAAUAUUAACUGGACCCCGAGAAUACGAUCCAUCCUCAAAGAAAACAAGCCCUGGUUCAUUGCCCAUGGCAUCUUCUUCCAGCAAAUCACUCUUUUCAAAGUCAAAAGACUUGAAAUCAGGCAAAAUACGACUUGUACCAAGAUCACCUCUUUGGUUUGGAGGUAAAGACGCAUUGACAGUUUUGUCUUCGUCUUUGAUUCCAUUACUGCCUACAACAUGCUGCAGCACUUCGCCAUAAGGAUUUAAAG
rnacentral:misc_RNA from 1 species